rnacentral:rRNA from 1 species
GUAAGGAGCUGUGGACUUCUAGGAAGAGAGAAUGCCGGAAUGAGUAGCGAGAGUAAGGUGAGAAUCCUUACGGCCGAAUAUCUAAGGUUUCCAGAGUAAAGCUGAUCUGCCCUGGGUAAGUCGGGACCUAAGGCGAGGACGAAAGUCGUAGUCGAUGGAUAACAGGUGGAGAUUCCUGUACUCCGUAUAAACAGAACUGUGGGGACACGGGUGGAAAGCCUGACCCGGGAAUGGAAAGACCGGGACAAGCGAGGUACCUGAGAAGGAGGCAAACCCCCUUAUCAAUGGGAAGACGUGAUGUGGAGCGAACCAAAGGGUAGCGAAGCAGGUGAGCCAGCCGUCGAGAAAAGCCGCUAUUGUUUUGUACGGACCCGUACCGUAAACCGACACAGGUGGAUGAGGAGAGAAUCCUAAGGCCGACGGGAGAAGCAUUGUUAAGGAACUCGGCAAAAUGACCCCGUAACUUCGGGAGAAGGGGUGCCUGAGGAAUCAGGCCGCAGAGAAUAGGUCCAAGCAACUGUUUAGCAAAAACACAGGUCUAUGCGAAACCGAAAGGUGAAGUAUAUGGGCUGACGCCUGCCCGGUGCUGGAAGGUUACGAGGAGUGCUUAGAGGCUUGCCUCGAAGGUGCGAAUUUAAGCCCCAGUAAACGGCGGCCGUAACUAUAACGGUCCUAAGGUAGCGAAAUUCCUUGUCGGGUAAGUUCCGACCGCACGAAAGGCGUAAUGAUUUGGACGCUGUCUCGACAAUGCACCCGGUGAAAUUGAAAUACCAGUGAAGAUGCUGGUUACCCGCGCCAGGACGGAAAGACCCCAUGGAGCUUUACUCUAGUUUGAUACUGGGAUUCGGUACUGCAUGUACAGGAUAGGUGGGAGACUGUGAAUCUGUGACGCCAGUUGCAGAGGAGUCAAUGUUGGGAUACCACCCUUGUAGUAUUGGAUUUCUAACCAACAGCCGUGAACCGGCUGGGGGACAAUGUCAGGCGGGGAGUUUGACUGGGGCGGUCGCCUCCGAAAGGGUAUCGGAGGCGCUCAAAGGUUCCCUCAGAAUGGCGGAAACCAUUCGAAGGGUGCAAAGGCAGAAGGGAGCUUGACUGCGACACCGACGGGUGGAGCAGGUAGGAAACUAGGACUUAGUGAUCCGGUGGUAUGAAAGUGGGAUUGCCAUCGCUCAACGGAUAAAAGCUACCCUGGAUAACAGGCUUAUCACUCCCAAGAGUUCACAUCGACGGAGUGGUUUUGGCACCUCGAUGUCGGCUCAUCGCAUCCUGGGGCUGUAGUAGGUCCCAAGGGUUGGGCUGUUCGCCCAUUAAAGAGGUACGCGAGCUGGGUUCAGAACGUCGUGAGACAGUUCGGUCCCUAUCCGGCGCGGGCGUAGGAUAUUUGAGAGGAGCUGCCCUUAGUACGAGAGGACCGGGGUGGACUGGCCUCUGGUGUACCGGUUGUAUUACCAAAUGCAUAGCCGGGUAGCCAAGCCGGGACGGGAUAAACGCUGAAGGCAUCUAAGCGUGAAGCCCCCCUCAAGAUAAGAUAUCCCUGACAAUAAGUCAAUAAGACCCCUUGAAGACGACGAGGUAGAUAGGUCCGAGGUGGAAGUGCAGUAAUGUAUGCAGCUGACGGAUACUAAUAGGUCGAAGGCUUGACC